rnacentral:tRNA from 1 species
GCCUGGGUGGCUUAGUCGGUUGAGUGUCUGACUUCAGCUCAGGUCAUGAUCUCACAGUCUGUGGGUUUGAGCCCCGUGUCAGGCC